UAUUGUGUUAACUGCUGAAAGUUUCAAUGUAUCACGGAAAUUUAAAGCUCGCUAACUUCAACAAAGAUGAUGAUUCCGAAAUGGUCGAGAAAAUGGCUAACUAUGCGGUCAAGAUAGCCUAUUACAACUUCGAGUGGCGAUACAUAACGCUCGUCAUAUGCACCACGGUGCACGCUAUAGGCGUCGAAACUUUCAUGAAAACUAUGAUAAAUCAGUCGUGCUCAAGAUGGGUGAGUACGUUCCGAAGCGCACCGACAUCCAACAGUACGUGUUGUUCGGAGAGGAAACACCCGACAUCAUCCGCCUCCUAGAAUUCAUCGCCAAAAUGCACUACAACAACGCCGGAAAGUUCAUCAUCCUCUGUGUCUCAUUACAAGACGGCGAAUGCAAUGAAUACGAAGUUCUAAAGCUGUGUAUGAAUUAUCAUAUCACUAACGUCGUCUUCAUCAAAGGAGGCCAGUCUGACGAACCUGUAACUUUCACGUACCAUCCGGUGAUAGCUGGACGAUGCUUCAACAGCGAUCCCGAGGUCAUGGCUAUAGCUUCGGACUGCCCCAACGACGACUGUUUUAAGGGUUCGUUUCCUGAAAAGUUGUCGAAUAUGCUUCUCUGUCCGAUAAUGGUAUCGACGUUCGAGCAGCACCCUUUUAUGUAUUUGAACAACGGGUCGGGCCCGCUGGCGGGCGUGGACGGAGAGAUACUGAGCCUGCUGAUGGACGUAAUGAACGCCACCCUCCGCAUAAUAACACCCACCGAGAGUAGCUGGGGCCACUAUAAAAAUAACAAUUGGACCGGCUCAGUAGGCGACGUGUUCAACGGACGGGCGCACUUCUCUAUGUGCUCGGCUCCCUUAACCUACAAUAAAUAUGGAAAUUUCCAGAUAUCCUUUACAUACAAUUCAAUGGAUAUGGUCUGGGUCGCCGGCCACCCUCCCGCUAAGCCGUCGUGGGCGAAACUUUUGUACCCGCUGAAAAUUUACAUAAGACUUUUAAUUUUCAUUAUGUUUAUUAUCAUAAUUUUGUUGAACUUUGCCCUGAAAACUCAAUGUUGGCAGAGGGCCGGGAAAUUGCUGAAAAUUACUCCGCCGAAACUGAGCAUGCUGUUUUAUGCGUGGGUGGCGUUCCUCGGACUGCCUCUGGCGAGGUAUCCAAAGAAACCUGCUUUACUGAUGAUAGUGCUUUGGUGGAUUAUAUUUACUUUCUUAAUACGGAGUGUGUACCAAGCUGCUCUUAUAGGUACCCUGAAGCAUCGCGUAUACGACGGCAAAUUUCAAUCGUUUGAAGACGUAUUGCGAAGUAAGCGACCGUUCGGAGGGUCGUCCUCUCUGAAAGAGUACUAUUCCGACGAGCCUCACAUCUACCGACAAUGGCGAGACAUACGAAUGGAAGAUAUUUAUUCUGAGCUGGACGGUAUGGCUGGGGGAACAUCCGACUUCGUGAUAGCGGCAAACGAGGAAACGGUGCUAGAGUAUUUAAUCUACUACAGCGGUUCGAAAGCGAUUCAGAUUAUCCCUCGGAAAAUAGUAAACAGUCCUACCGUCCUGUUUUUCCGGAAGUAUUCGCCCUUGGCAGUUCCGGUGAAUAAGUUGUUGAGUUCGAUAUCGGAGUGCGGGUUCGCGGGUCACCUGUACUACCAGUAUAAGGAGAGGGCGUUGUACAUCUUCCGUCGUCCGAAGUCCAGUCCAGCUGAGCCGCUUCGCCUGGAGCACUUUACCGGAUCCUACUGCAUCAUCGUGGGCGGCUGGUGCCUCUCUGUCUUCUUUUUCUUGAUUGAAGUGUACGCUGUGAAACUCGAUCUUGUACACUACAAAUACGUACCAUAA